UCUGGCCCGCAUCGACGCGACGAAUCGCAUUCACCAGCCUCUCGAGCUCCGGGCUUUCUUUCACGCUCGACGAGCAAAUACUUUGUUUCACCUUGAAUUCGCGACACUGCGAAUUUUCUACGAAGCCCAGAUUCUGGCAAUUCUCGCGAGAAAGAAAAGACACACGACGAAGAAUAGAGGCUUGGUGCAAUCGUUUCUCUUUUUUUUUUUUUUUUUUUUUUUGCGUUUGCAACAUUGAUCGGUGGAAUUGGCCGUAAAUUGGCAGUUGCGCAGAUGAAGAUGGCCACGGUGACUCACGAUUGACGUAAGCUGCACAAGAAGAAGAUCGAACGACGCCCAUAAGAAUGAUUACAUCGAGUCUAAAUCAUCGACAUCGGUUGUCGUCCCUGAAUAAUUGAUAUCGCUUCAACAGUUCGAAACAAAGCUUGAGAAAAAAGGAGGACACCAUCAAGAGCACGAUGAAAUUUUCCUAAAAACAACACCCUAUCUAUGAUAUAGAUUAACAUCGCUCAGGAUAAUAAUCAAUACACGUUUCGAGUCGGAGGCACGACAAAGCUCAAGUCCCAGUGGAUCUGGGUGAACGAGCACGGCCUUGCCACGCCGUUGUCCAUUGCAUAUUCAGCCGGUGAUCCCACUGGCUGUCCUCCAAGUAUUUUUCGCCAUAACGACGUCCCGCCAGCGUAUCUCGAGGAGACCCGAAAGAUAUUUUCCCGUUGAGUUAGAAUGCACGACGAACGAGAGACGAGCACGAAGAUCGUUGUACCUCCAAGUUAUUCUUGACCGAAAUGAACUACACUCUGUUCUUGAGAGGCACAUUUGUUCCUCAAAUUUGAAUAAAUAUUGUAAAUGUAAAUAAAAGUUUUCUAAAUUUCUUUCAACAUUGUAUAGCAUCGUAUUUCACAUAGCGAGUGAUUAGAUUUCUGGAUCAUUUUUACAUAAUGGAAAAUGAAAUGGAAAUAGUGUAGUAGUCAUCUCUUUUUUUUUCUCAAGAAGCAAAUACGUAUGUCUGUUAUAACACUCUGAUCUAUAUGUUUAUUGUGCUGC